UCGGGAAUUUUGGGCAAUGGGCGAAAGCCUGAUCCAGCAAUGCCGCGUGAGUGAUGAAGGCCUUAGGGUUGUAAAGCUCUUUUACCAGGGAUGAUAAUGACAGUACCUGGAGAAUAAGCUCCGGCUAACUCCGUGCCAGCAGCCGCGGUAAUACGGAGGGAGCUAGCGUUGUUCGGAAUUACUGGGCGUAAAGCGUACGUAGGCGGUGACUCAAGUCAGAGGUGAAAGCCUGGAGCUCAACUCCAGAACUGCCUUUGAAACUAGGUCGCUAGAAUCACGGAGAGGUGAGUGGAAUUCCGAGUGUAGAGGUGAAAUUCGUAGAUAUUCGGAAGAACACCAGUGGCGAAGGCGGCUCACUGGACGUGUAUUGACGCUGAGGUACGAAAGCGUGGGGAGCAAACAGGAUUAGAUACCCUAGUAGUCCCUGAGCGGGCUGGCAAGGCGCAU
rnacentral:rRNA from 1 species